rnacentral:lncRNA from 1 species
CUUUUACACACACCUCUGGCACUUUUUUAAGUGUGCAUUAUAGUUUUAAUUCAAAUGCAAAAGGCCCAAAUGCUAUUUUCAGCCAAUCUAAUUCCAUUCCCAUUGCAGAUGUCAUGAUUUUAUGCCAAGUAAGAAUCCACUCGAGAGGACAGUGAUUUGUUAUUGUACCAGCAGCCUUUAUUCAGAUGAAGCAUGCAUUAAUGGAUGAAUCACAAAUAUACAGUACAUCUACUUUAAAGAGCUCAGCUUGCCAUAGGAAUUAUAAAGACACAAAGUGCAGAGCCAAGAACGAAACUUAAGAUCUAAAAAUCAACGCUUUGCAGCACUCUCCUUCGGCUCACUUUCACUCACUCCAAAUUGCUUUCAUUUCCAUUUCUUUAUUCAUGAAGUUAGACAUGCAGAAGGAAUCUAUAAUACUCUGCUUCAAAAGUGUUGAUUUAAAAGUUAUAAGUUUCAUUGUAAAUGCAAUGAUGUUUUGGGCUGUGCAUGAGUAGUCUUUAGAUAUGGGGUGCCAAAACUUCAUUGCGAGUUAAGCAGAAAGAGUAGUGUUUAUAAAUAACACAUAUAACAUUUUAGAAGGGACUGUCUUAGCAAGCUCCAAACCCUCCACACACAUUCAGAUUUAUUUCCUUUUUGUGUUUUACAGGUUCCACAGCGUGCGCUCAUUGGGCUUGGAUUCAUUUGAUGGGUCAAUACUUUCUUUUUUAAUGCACUUCAAUUCAAAAAUACUAAAUCACAGAGGAAUCCAUAUCGCCUGUUGUAUAAACUUUUUUUAAAGAUACAUAAGCUUUUAACAUGUAUUCCCAGGUCCAUGCUACACUUAAACACAAGUUUAAUGUGUAGGGCUGAUGUAGUGCACUGUUGCUCUUCUAAACCACAUUAUGCUACGAUUAUUCACCAAGAAGCACUAUAGGAAAGAUCAAGAUGUCCAAAACAGUUCUACGCUGAGCCCUGCUCAGCCCUCAAGCGGCGAGAGAUCAUCCCGGCGGGGACCGGCUGUCCUCUCUUGGAGCAGUAUCAGGGUGUCUCAGCUCACCGGAGCAUUUUUGAAGGGGAAGGAUUGUACCGUUUUCUGA